rnacentral:miRNA from 1 species
UUUUGGAUUUUUGCAUUUGGCA